rnacentral:rRNA from 1 species
GACGAACGCUGGCGGCGUGCUUAACACAUGCAAGUCGAACGGAAAGGCCCUGCUUUUGUGGGGUGCUCGAGUGGCGAACGGGUGAGUAACACGUGAGUAACCUGCCCUUGACUUUGGGAUAACUUCAGGAAACUGGGGCUAAUACCGGAUAGGAGCUCCUGCUGCAUGGUGGGGGUUGGAAAGUUUCGGCGGUUGGGGAUGGACUCGCGGCUUAUCAGCUUGUUGGUGGGGUAGUGGCUUACCAAGGCUUUGACGGGUAGCCGGCCUGAGAGGGUGACCGGCCACAGUGGGACUGAGAUACGGCCCAGACUCCUACGGGGGGCCGCAGUGGGGAAUAUUGCACGAUGAGCGGAAGCCUGAUGCAGCAACGCCGCGUGCGGGAUGACGGCCUUCGGGUUGUAAACCGCUUUCGCCUGUGACGAAGCGUGAGUGACGGUAAUGGGUAAAGAAGCACCGGCUAACUACGUG